GCCCCUGUGGUGAAAUUGGUAGACGCGGAAGACUCAAAAUCUUUUGCCUGAUGAGGGCAUGCUGGUUCGAGUCCGGCCAGGGGCA
rnacentral:tRNA from 1 species